GUCCCCAUCGUCUAGAGGCCUAGGACACCGCCCUUUCACGGCGAUAACACGAGUUCGAAGCUCGUUGGGGACGCCA
rnacentral:tRNA from 1 species